AUUACACUACUGUUGAUUGUUUUAAGAGACUCUACUACUAAGUAGAGCCCACCCCGCUUCUCUGAGACGAAACCUGUGUUUUUUGGUUGGUUUGUUUUUAAGAGAUGGGGUCUUGUUCUGUCACCUAGGGUGGAGUGCAGUGGCACAAUCACAGCUCACUGCAGCCCUGAACUCCUGGGCUCAAGUAAUCCUCCUGCCUGAGCCUCUUACGUAGCUGGGAUUACAGGCAUGAGCCACUGAGCCCUACUUUUUUUUUUUAAAGCAAUGAGGUCUUGCUGUGUUGCCCAGGCUGGACUCAAAUUCCUGGGCUCAAGUGAUCCUCCCACUUCACCUUCCUGAGCAGCCGGAACUACAGAUGUUGGUCCACUGCACCUGGCAGAAAAGAAGUUUUGAUAGGGGCAGAAAUGAAAAAGGAGAAAACAGGUGAGUUUUAAGGUGCAGGGCACUUUAGGGUACUGGGUAGCCCUAGGUAGCUAAAGGUUGCAUGAAGGCCCUGGGCGUUUGCAGAUGGUGUAGAAGCCAGCCAAAGCCUAACUACUUGUUUUGAAAGUUUCUUGAAGACAGGCCUUGUGCCUAGGAAAACAGAAGCUUUCUUCUUCCUUCUACUAGUAUUGCAUACUUGUUUUUCUGGAAUAGGGUGUUAAGUUCCUUGAUUCAGUCCUUGACAAGGAAUCUCCUUUAUACAAGUGCCAGUAAUGUUGUAAAGGUACAGACAUACGCAAAUCAUAAUUUGUUACAUGAAGUACCAGUGCUUUCUUUUUUGUUGUUUUUUGAGACAGAGUCUCGCUCUGUCGCUCAGGCUGGAGUGCAGUGGCGCGAUUUCAGUUCACUGCAACCUCCACCUCCCAGGUUCAAGCAUUCUUCUGCCUCAGCCUCCCGAGUAGCUGGGAUUACAGGCACCCACCACCACGCCUGGCUGAUUUUUUGUAGAGACAGGGUUUCACUUCAAUUCCAUGUUAGAGAGCUCCGUGCCUGUGUAUACAUGCCUUUAUGUAAGCUUGCUCAGCUACAGAUCAACAAUGCUGGCACUAAGCAAAAGUUCGAGCCUCAGCUUUACCUUCUACCCUUUCCCUUCUCUUUUGAAUCCAUUCCUUAGCUUUCCCUAGUCCUCUCCGGAUAGCUGUUACUCUCCUCUUGCCAGAAAAAUGAAGGAGCUGGUAUCAUUUAUACUUUUUGUUUGAUUAUACGUUUAACCAAAGACCAUACAGUCUCGUACCUGAAUCAGACAUUUGCACUUUAUAUCUAAAUGAGAAGAAGGGGCUCAGAUAAGUCGUUUGCUGCCAUCUGGAGGUAGAUGGACAAUAGCUGAGAAGGGGAGCCAUGAAAAGAACAUCAGGAGUGAUGGACGCAUAGUCCUUCCCCAAAGCCUCGCUCAUCACUGGUAGGAGGCAAAGCAGUGGGUCCUCCUCACCAGCCGCUUACGGGACCCUGCCAUGCCUGGACCCCUCUAUCAGGAAGACCUACCCCAGCACUACUGGAAAAUCAGCCAAUCUUAACCCAAAGAUGGCCAUGAUUUCUGUAUGUGAGACGUCUUAAGGGUGUUUUUGUUUGUUUUAAUCAGCCCUCUUGUUUGAGAUUUGGCAAUACAUUUCUGUUUUCUAGGUAAUUUCUGUGUCUGAUGGUAGAGGAUCUAAUAAGUAUUGGAAUGCUUCCUAUUUGCUGAUAGAAGUACCAAAUAGUAUUAUUGAAGUCUAACAAAGACUUUUUGUUGAGAACACCUUGUAGUGUUGUACUAUCUGGAACUCUUGAGCUGCCAUUUAUAUCACUUUUUGUGGAGAGCACAUCUUGAUUUUCAGUUGUCCUUACUUUAGAAUACAACACACAUAAAUUGGAGACUAUGUAUUCAUUUCAAUGGAGGUGGUAAAUUGCCUGUUUUAAGUUUUACUUAAUGUUGGGUUUUGGUAGAUGAGGAAAGCAUUUUGGUUAUUUGUUUUGUUUUAAAUACCAAAUUUCUUAUAUUUUUUCUGGAAUAUUAAUACUAUUACCAAGCUAUUAUUUCAUGGAAUUUGGGUUUCUUUUUUUUUGUUUUUUUAAAAUUAAGUGCUGUUUGUUUUCUUGGUUAUUGAACAUAAUCCAAAGUAGAGAUGUUAUUACUCAAUUCAAGAAAAGAAAGGGCUAAUAAAACUUAACUUCAAGUC
rnacentral:lncRNA from 1 species